CAGAGCCACCUUCCUCCCCCACCAAUUGCCAGGUCCUGGGCCAGUGGAAUCUUGGACUGGGCGGGUGCAGGGGUCUGAGCCCACAUCUGAGAAGUAUCACUAAGGGCCUGCACGGGCCCUGCCCUUUCUCAGCUGGACUAAGCCUCCCUCACUCAGGGUGGGGGCUGCGCGGUUUUAAUUCACGGACACUUCCUGCGGGCGUAAUGCCAAAGGAGGCAACUGCGCUCAAGUCCAGACCAGAAACAGAGCCGAACCGUCCCCGGAACAGACAGGCGAGAGAAUCCCGGCUGGAGUGGACUGGGGUGGGAAGGACUCCGCAGUGAGCGGCCGCCAGGGAACGGGGAGGGGAAGCUGGGGACACUGCGGGCGCGCGUGCAGAGGAGCCCCGCCCCGGGAGCCCUCCCUCCUUCCCCGCGGGCGCGGGGUUGGGGCGCGCCAGGCUGCUGCGGCGCGAACCUGCUCGCGCAAACCGGAGCAGCUCCAGGCAGCGUAAUACCCCUCCUCAAGCCUCAUCAGUCCUAGCUUCCUCCCCCCGGGGGCAGAGGAUUCUAGGUGAAAAUGUGAUCAGUUUCACUCAGCCCAGACCUUUUGAAGCCCUUCUGGAAAUAGGUUCUGGGAGCAUCACCCCCCUUCCGGAAGGAGCCAUGACUGUCACACGUGUACGUGGGCAUCUAGCAUUUCUCAGAAGCUCCCAGUGCAAGCUUGAUCACAGGAGCUGCCUUACAGGCCACAUCGGCCCUCAAAAAACAACAUGCUGACCAACAUGCAGAAGAACUA